rnacentral:hammerhead_ribozyme from 1 species
GUUCUGCUGAAGAGUCCUACUAGGACGAAACAGCUGUCCAGUAC